rnacentral:rRNA from 1 species
GUUGAUCUGGAAGAGACGCUGCGGGGCUUAAAAUGCAGUCGAACGAUGAUGGGAGCUUGCUCUGGAUUAGUGGCGAACGGGUGAGUAACACGUGAGUUACCUGCCCUUAACUCUGGGAUAAGCCUGGGAAACUGGGUCUAAUACCGGAUAUGACUCCUCAUCGCAUGGUGGGGGGUGGAAAGCUUUUUUGUGGUUUUGGAUGGACUCGCGGCCUAUCAGCUUGUUGGUGAGGUAAUGGCUUACCAAGGCGACGACGGGUAGCCGGCCUGAGAGGGUGACCGGCCACACUGGGACUGAGACACGGCCCAGACUCCUACGGGAGGCAGCAGUGGGGAAUAUUGCACAAUGGGCGCAAGCCUGAUGCAGCGACGCCGCGUGAGGGAUGACGGCCUUCGGGUUGUAAACCUCUUUCAGUAGGGAAGAAGCGAAAGUGACGGUACCUGCAGAAGAAGCGCCGGCUAACUACGUGCCAGCAGCCGCGGUAAUACGUAGGGCGCAAGCGUUAUCCGGAAUUAUUGGGCGUAAAGAGCUCGUAGGCGGUUUGUCGCGUCUGCCGUGAAAGUCCGGGGCUCAACUCCGGAUCUGCGGUGGGUACGGGCAGACUAGAGUGAUGUAGGGAGACUGGAAUUCCUGGUGUAGCCGGUGAAAUGCGCAGAUAUCAGGAGGAACACCGAUGGCGAAGGCAGGUCUCUGGGCAUUAACUGACGCUGAACAGCGAAAGCAUGGGA